AAACGCGGGACACAGCUUUACGUGCGAUUUCGUGCAAAGGAAGCGUUCAAGCGUUCAAUUUUUUGAACAUUCGUUACCACCCAGUGACUCAUAAAAACUAAAAGAUGCCAUUAAUGUGGUAUAAAGUAUCGAAAAGUUGGAAAUCGUUAACGUAUUUAACAGAAAUAAUAGCUGAAAUUAGCCAAAAAACAAGUUCAGGAGAAAAGUGCGGAAGUCCUAAGGUAUAAAAUUGCUAUUGAAGAAAUCACAAAUUGAUUUAAUAAGA